AAUGCGUAGAGAUCAGGAAGAACACCGGUGGCGAAAGCGCUCUGCUGGGCUAAAACUGACACUGAGGGACGAAAGCUAGGGGAGCGAAUGGGAUUAGAUACCCCAGUAGUCCUAGCGGUAAACGAUGGAAACUAGGUGUGGCCUGUAUCGACCCGGGCCGUGCCGGAGCAAACGCGUUAAGUUUCCCGCCUGGGGAGUACGCACGCAAGUGUGAAACUCAAAGGAAUUGACGGGGGCCCGCACAAGCGGUGGAGUAUGUGGUUUAAUUCGAUGCAACGCGAAGAACCUUACCAGGACUUGACAUCUCGGGAAUCUGCUUGAAAGGGGAGAGUGCC
rnacentral:rRNA from 1 species